rnacentral:rRNA from 1 species
UGGAUCCAGACUUUGAUUAUGGCUCAGGAUGAACGCUAGCUACAGGCUUAACACAUGCAAGUCGAGGGGCAGCAUCAUCAAAGCUUGCUUUGAUGGAUGGCGACCGGCGCACGGGUGAGUAACACGUAUCCAACCUGCCGACAACACUGGGAUAGCCUUUCGAAAGAAAGAUUAAUACCGGAUGGCAUAAUUAUUCCGCAUGGGAUAAUUAUUAAAGAAUUUCGGUUGUCGAUGGGGAUGCGUUCCAUUAGGCAGUUGGCGGGGUAACGGCCCACCAAACCUACGAUGGAUAGGGGUUCUGAGAGGAAGGUCCCCCACAUUGGAACUGAGACACGGUCCAAACUCCUACGGGAGGCAGCAGUGAGGAAUAUUGGUCAAUGGACGAGAGUCUGAACCAGCCAAGUAGCGUGAAGGAUGACUGCCCUAUGGGUUGUAAACUUCUUUUAUACGGGAAUAAAGUGAGCCACGUGUGGCUUUUUGUAUGUACCGUAUGAAUAAGGAUCGGCUAACUCCGUGCCAGCAGCCGCGGUAAUACGGAGGAUCCGAGCGUUAUCCGGAUUUAUUGGGUUUAAAGGGAGCGUAGGCGGGUUGUUAAGUCAGUUGUGAAAGUUUGCGGCUCAACCGUAAAAUUGCAGUUGAUACUGGCGACCUUGAGUGCAACAGAGGUAGGCGGAAUUCGUGGUGUAGCGGUGAAAUGCUUAGAUAUCACGAAGAACUCCGAUUGCGAAGGCAGCUUACUGGAUUGUAACUGACGCUGAUGCUCGAAAGUGUGGGUAUCAAACAGGAUUAGAUACCCUGGUAGUCCACACAGUAAACGAUGAAUACUCGCUGUUGGCGAUAUACAGUCAGCGGCCAAGCGAAAGCAUUAAGUAUUCCACCUGGGGAGUACGCCGGCAACGGUGCAACUCAAAUGAAUUGACGGA